rnacentral:rRNA from 1 species
GACGAACGCUGGCGGCGUGCCUAAUACAUGCAAGUCGAACGCAGUGGGGACUGGUGAGUAACCCGUGGGUAACCUCCCAUCAGAGGGGAUAACACUUGGAAACAGGUGCUAAACCGAUACUGAUGGAUGAACCCGGGGGGCAUUAGCUAGUGGGUGAGGUAAAGGCUCACCAAGGCCACGAUGCAUAGCCGGCCUGGGAGGAUGAUCAGCCACACUGGGACUGAGACACGGCCCAGACUCCUACGGGAGGCAGCAGUAGGGAAUCUUGCGCAAUGGACGAAAGUCUGAUCGAGCCACGCCGCGUGAGUGAAGAAGGUUUUAGGAUCGUAAAGCUCUGUUGUUAGAGAAGCGGUAUCUAACCAGAAAGCCACGGCUAACUACGUGCCAGCCGCCGCGGUAAUAC